UGGGGAAUCUUGCGCAAUGGCCGAGAGGCUGACGCAGCGACGCCGCGUGGGGGAGGAAGGUCUUCGGAUCGUAAACCCCUGUCGGGAGGGAAGAACGGCGCUGGGGAGGCAAUGCCCCGGCGCAUGACGGUACCUCCAAAGGAAGCACCGGCUAACUCCGUGCCAGCAGCCGCGGUAAUACGGAGGGUGCAAGCGUUGUUCGGAAUUAUUGGGCGUAAAGCGCGCGCAGGCGGCUUGAGAAGUCCAUGGGUGAAAGGCCGGGGCUCAACCCCGAGUGUGCCCAGGAUACUCUCUGGCUGGAGACACGUAGAGGCAAGCGGAAUUUCGGGUGUAGCGGUGGAAUGCGUAGAUAUCCGAAAGAACACCGGAGGCGAAGGCGGCUUGCUGGGCGUGAUCUGACGCUGAGGCGCGAAAGCGUGGGGAGCGAACAG
rnacentral:rRNA from 1 species